AACGAACGCUGGCGGCAUGCCUAACACAUGCAAGUCGAACGAACCCUUCGGGGUUAGUGGCGAACGGGUGCGUAACGCGUGGGAAUCUGCCCUUUGCUUCGGAAUAACUCAGGGAAACUUGUGCUAAUACCGGAUGAUGUCUUCGGACCAAAGAUUUAUCGGCAAGGGAUGAGCCCGCGUAGGAUUAGGUAGUUGGUGGGGUAAAGGCCUACCAAGCCGACGAUCCUUAGCUGGUCUGAGAGGAUGAUCAGCCACACUGGGACUGAGACACGGCCCAGACUCCUACGGGAGGCAGCAGUAGGGAAUAUUGGAGAAUGGGCGCAAGCCUGAUCCAGCAAUGCCGCGUGAGUGAUGAAGGCCCUCGGGUCGUAAAGCUCUUUUACCAGGGAUGAUAAUGACAGUACCUGGAGGAUAAGCUCCGGCUAACUCCGUG
rnacentral:rRNA from 1 species